rnacentral:rRNA from 1 species
UACGUAGGGGGCAAGCGUUGUCCGGAUUUAUUGGGCGUAAAGAGCGUGUAGGCGGCCAUACAGGUCCGUUGUGAAAACUCGAGGCUCAACCUCGAGACGUCGAUGGAAACCGUAUGGCUAGAGUCCGGAAGAGGAGAGUGGAAUUCCUGGUGUAGCGGUGAAAUGCGCAGAUAUCAGGAAGAACACCUAUGGCGAAGGCAGCUCUCUGGGACGGUACUGACGCUGAGACGCGAAAGCGUGGGGAGCGAACAGG